UGGCGCCGUGUAAACACCUACCC
rnacentral:miRNA from 1 species